rnacentral:rRNA from 1 species
AUUGAACGCUGGCGGCAUGCCUUACACAUGCAAGUCGAACGGCAGCACGGGGGCAACCCUGGUGGCGAGUGGCGAACGGGUGAGUAAUGCAUCGGAACGUGCCCAGUAGUGGGGGAUAACCAGUCGAAAGACUGGCUAAUACCGCAUACGACCUACGGGUGAAAGCGGGGGACCGUAAGGCCUCGCGCUAUUGGAGCGGCCGAUGUCUGAUUAGCUAGUUGGCGGGGUAAGAGCCCACCAAGGCGACGAUCAGUAGCUGGUCUGAGAGGACGACCAGCCACACGGGGACUGAGACACGGCCCAGACUCCUACGGGAGGCAGCAGUGGGGAAUUUUGGACAAUGGGCGCAAGCCUGAUCCAGCCAUGCCGCGUGCGGGAAGAAGGCUUUCGGGUUGUAAACCGCUUUUGGCAGGAACGAAACGGCGCAAGCCAAUACCUUGCGCUAAUGACGGUACCUGCAGAAUAAGCACCGGCUAACUACGUGCCAGCCGCCGCAGUAAUAC